rnacentral:tRNA from 1 species
AGUAGUGUGGCUCUGUGGUACAGCACUUGCCUAGUAGGUAUGAAGCCCUGAGUUGGAUCCUCAGCAUUGCAA